UACGUAGGGGGCAAGCGUUGUCCGGAAUCAUUGGGCGUAAAGAGCGUGUAGGCGGCUCGGUAAGUCCGCUCUGAAAGCCCGGGGCUCAACCCCGGGAGGCGGGCGGAUACUGUCGGGCUAGAGUCCGGAAGAGGCGAGUGGAAUUCCUGGUGUAGCGGUGAAAUGCGCAGAUAUCAGGAGGAACACCAAUGGCGAAGGCAGCUCACUGGGACGUUACUGACGCUGAGACGCGAAAGCGUGGGGAGCAAACAGG
rnacentral:rRNA from 1 species